AUUGAACGCUGGCGGCAGGCCUAACACAUGCAAGUCGAGCGGAUGAAGGGAGCUUGCUCCUGGAUUCAGCGGCGGACGGGUGAGUAAUGCCUAGGAAUCUGCCUGGUAGUGGGGGAUAACGUCCGGAAACGGGCGCUAAUACCGCAUACGUCCUGAGGGAGAAAGUGGGGGAUCUUCGGACCUCACGCUAUCAGAUGAGCCUAGGUCGGAUUAGCUAGUUGGUGGGGUAAAGGCCUACCAAGGCGACGAUCCGUAACUGGUCUGAGAGGAUGAUCAGUCACACUGGAACUGAGACACGGUCCAGACUCCUACGGGAGGCAGCAGUGGGGAAUAUUGGACAAUGGGCGAAAGCCUGAUCCAGCCAUGCCGCGUGUGUGAAGAAGGUCUUCGGAUUGUAAAGCACUUUAAGUUGGGAGGAAGGGCAGUAAGUUAAUACCUUGCUGUUUUGACGUUACCAGCAGAAUAAGCACCGGCUAACUUCGUA
rnacentral:rRNA from 1 species